GUGGUGUCAGGCACGACCGCGAUAUCAACGCGGCUAAGAACAUGCUUGCGGUCGGGCAUGGCCGUCCAGUAGUGGGAAUCCCCGUCCUUUAGGGCGGGGAGGAUGUCAACGCUUUCAUCUUA
rnacentral:sRNA from 1 species